rnacentral:tRNA from 1 species
GCCCACGUAGCUCAGCUGGCAGAGCACUUCCUUGGUAAGGAAGAGGUCACCGGUUCAAGCCCGGUCGUGGGCU